rnacentral:rRNA from 1 species
UACGUAGGGACCAAGCGUUGUCCGGAUUUAUUGGGCGUAAAGAGCUCGUAGGCGGUUCGGCAAGUCGGGUGUGAAACCCCCAGGCUCAACCUGGGGACGCCACCCGAUACUGCUGUGACUUGAGUCCGGUAGGGGAGCGUGGAAUUCCUGGUGUAGCGGUGAAAUGCGCAGAUAUCAGGAGGAACACCAGCGGCGAAGGCGGCGCUCUGGGCCGGAACUGACGCUGAGGAGCGAAAGCGUGGGUAGCAAACAGG